UCUCUUGUUGUUUAUUGUGAUGGAUCAGGACCACUCGACGAGUUUGUGUUUAUCCUAAGGAGUUUCUAUUUAUCGGUACAGAGUUUAUGUUUAUUAUUCGUAGUUUCUAUUUAUUAUUUGAAGUUUGUGUUUAUUAUUCGGAGUUUCUAUUUAUUAUUUGGAGUUUGUGUUUAUCUUCAGAUAGUUUAUAUUUAUUUGGGUAGGACUUAGUUAUCAUCCUCUCUUGUGUUUUAUCCUAGAUGGGCCAUUGGAUCACUCAACUUUUGAACUCCGAGUUUGUAUUUAUCCUGAAAAAUUUCUGUUUAUCGGCAUAAAAUUUACAUUUAUUAUUCAUAGUUUUGGUUUCUAUGC
rnacentral:lncRNA from 1 species